AUGGGCACGAGGCUCUUCUUCUAUGUGGCCCUUUGUCUGCUGUGGGCAGGACACAGGGAUGCUGAAAUCACCCAGAGCCCAAGACACAAGAUCACAGAGACAGGAAGGCAGGUGACCUUGGCGUGUCACCAGACUUGGAACCACAACAAUAUGUUCUGGUAUCGACAAGACCUGGGACAUGGGCUGAGGCUGAUCCAUUACUCAUAUGGUGUUCACGACACUAACAAAGGAGAAGUCUCAGAUGGCUACAGUGUCUCUAGAUCAAACACAGAGGACCUCCCCCUCACUCUGGAGUCUGCUGCCUCCUCCCAGACAUCUGUAUAUUUCUGCGCCAGCAGUGAGUC